rnacentral:rRNA from 1 species
UACGGAGGGUGCAAGCGUUAUCCGGAUUCACUGGGUUUAAAGGGUGCGUAGGUGGGCAGGUAAGUCAGUGGUGAAAUCUCCGGGCUUAACCCGGAACUGCCGUUGAUACUAUUUGUCUUGAAUAUUGUGGAGGUAAGCGGAAUAUGUCAUGUAGCGGUGAAAUGCUUAGAUAUGACAUAGAACACCAAUUGCGAAGGCAGCUUACUACAACAAUGAUUGACACUGAGGCACGAAAGCGUGGG